rnacentral:lncRNA from 1 species
AAGAAAAAAAAAUGUUAAGGGAAGCCAGAAGGAAAGAUCAGGUGACCUACAAAUGGAUCUCUCUGCAGAAACCCUACAAGCCAGAAUAGAGUGGGGGCCAAUAUUCUACAUUCUUAAAUGAAAGAAUUUUUUUUUUUUUUUUUAGCAUUUCUUUUCUAUUCUUUCUUAGAAUAGCCAUCUCUCUGCUGACAUUGUUUAUUUCUUAAAUGUUGUCUACUUUUUUCUAUUAAAGCUUUUAUUAUUUUAUUUAUUUAUUUAUUUAUUUAUUUAUUUAAAUUUUUUAUUGGAUUAUAGGUUUUGGGGUACAUGAGCAGAGCAUGCAAGACAGUUGCGUAGGUACACACAUGGCAGUGUGCUUUCUUUUCUUCUCCCCUUCACCCACAUUUGGCUUUUCUCCCCAGGCUAUCCCUCCCCAUCUCCCCCUCCCACUGGCCCUCCCCUUUUCCCCCCAAUAGACCCCAGUGUUUAGUACUCCCCUUUCUGUGUCCAUGUGUUCUCAUUUUUCAUCACCCACCUAUGAGUGAGAAUAUGCGGUGUUUCAUUUUCUGUUCUUGUGUCAGUUUGCUGAGGAUGAAGUUCUCCAGAUUCAUCCAUGUCCCUACAAACGACACAAACUCAUCAUUUCUGAUUGCUGCAUAAUAUUCCAUGGUGUAUAUGUGCCACAUUUUUCCAAUCCAGUCUAUUAUCAAUGGGCAUUUGGGUUGAUUCCAGGUCUUUGCUAUUGUAAACAGUGCUGCAAUGAACAUUCGUGUACAUGUGUCCUUAUAGUAGAACGAUAUAUAGUCUUUUGGAUAUAUACCCAGUAAUGGGAUUGCUGGGUCAAAUGGAAUUUCUAUUUCUAAGGCCUUGAGGAAUCGCCACACCGUCUUCCACAAUGGUUGAACUAAUGUACACUCCCACCAACAGUGUAAAAGUGUUCCUUUUUCUCCACAUCCUCUCCAGCAUCUGUUGUCUCCAGAUUUUUUAAUGAUCACCAUUCUAACUGGCGUGAGAUGGUUUUGGGGUACAUGUGAAGAACAUGCAAGAUUGUUGCAUAGGUACACACAUGGCAGUGUGAUUUGCUGCCUUCCUCCCCUUCACCUAUAUCUGGCAUUUCUUCCCAUGCUAUCUCUCCCCAACUUCCCACCCUCUGCUGUCCCUCCCUUAUUCCCCCCAACAUACCCCAGAGUGUAGUGCUCCCCUCCCUGUGUCCAUGUGUUCUCAUUGCUCAACACCUGCCUAUGAAUGAGAACAUGCAGUAUUUCAUUUUCUGUUCUUGUGUCAGUUUGCUGAGAAUGAUGGUCUCCAGGUUCAACCAUGUCCCUACCAUUUCACACUAGUUAGACUAGUGAUUAUUAAAAGUUGAGAAAAAAUAGAUGUUGAUGAGGCUGUGAGAGACAGGAAUGGUUUUACACUGUUGGUGGGAAUGUAAAUUAGUUCAACUAUUGUAGAAGACAGUCUGGUGAUUCCUCCAGGAUCUAGAACCAGAAAUACCACAUGACCCAGCAAUUCCAUUACUGGGUCUAUACCCAAAGGAAUAUAAAUCAUUAUACUAUUAAAAUACAUGCACACAUAUGUUUAUUGCAGCACUGUUUACAAUAGCAAAGACAUGGAACCAACCCAAAUGCCCAGCAAUGAUAGACUGGAUAAAGAAAAUGUGGCACAUAUACACCAUGGAAUACUAUGCAGCCAUAAAAAAGGAAUGAGAUCUUGUCCAUUGCAGAGAUAUGCAUGAAGCUGGAAGCAGUCACCCUCAGCAAACUAACACAGGAACUAACACAGGAACAGAAAACUGAAUAUCACAUGUACUCCUUCAUAAGUGGGAGUCAAACAAUGAGAACGUAUGGACACAGGGAGGGGAGCAUCACAC